UGUGGGGAGUGGGCUCAGAGCUGGGUUCCUGGGGGAUCUGGGGAAGGGACUCUUUCUGACAUCACAAGGGAUGCUGGAGCUAAAAGCUAAGGCAGAAAUCUAAAGAAUCCAACCUUGUCACUUCACAGCAGAGGACGCUGAAGUCCACAGGAGUGAAGUGACUUGAGGAAGGUCACCCAGCUGUCACACAGUGGCCAAGCUGUUCCUUUAGAAGCCUGUGAUCUUUGAGAAAAUCUCCAUGCUUUCGGAGGGUGACUUUGACAGCUUGGUAGAGGAUGGAUUGGAGAGGGGAUAGUAGAAGCCAGAAGACCAAUUUCAGAGGCUGCUGUGAUUGUCUGGGACGCAGAGCUUGACGCAGCACACAAUGCUUUUUCGUUCUCUCAUCUGUGAAGAGAUGAUAAUUGAACCAGCG